rnacentral:rRNA from 1 species
CCAGUUCGGAUUGUAGUCUGCAACCCGCCCUGCGUGAAGUCGGAAUCGCUAGUAAUCGCGGAUCAGCAUGCCGCGGUGAAUACGUUCCCGGGCCUUGUACACACCGCCCGUCACACCAUGAGAGUCGGGAACACCCGAAGUCCGUAGCCUAACCGCAAGGAGGGCGCGGCCGAAGGUGGGUUCGAUAAUUGGGGUGAAGUCGUAACAAGGUACC